rnacentral:tRNA from 1 species
GGAUUGUGGCUCAAUGGUAGAGCGCUUGCCUUGCAUGUGUGAGGCACUGGGUUCGAUCCUCAGCACCA